rnacentral:lncRNA from 1 species
CUUUUUUUAGGAGGGAGCACUUCAUUAUAUGGGGUAAUCUGCCACAUAUGCUCACCAUUAAUUGGAUAGACAAUGGAAGAGUACAUUGCUUCAUAUGUGGAUUUCCUAAAACAAACAGGGAUGAAUUCUUCUGCAUCUAAAUUCAGAAACUUCAUAGAAGCCAAGGCAUGACAACAUGAAAUGCCCGAUAUAGCCCAUUUCCUGCAUGCGCAUUCUAAUUUGUCUAUAUCAACUAUAAAUUUGUCCCCAGCUUGGGAAACAUGACGAACUUCAAACAACUUUUGCCCUGACCAGCUGGAAAAACAAAAUUAAAACUCAGAUAGAUGACAUUUGAUAGCCUUGAAGACAUAAAAAAAGUUUUAUAUAAU